AAUUAAUGAGCUUGCAUAUAGCAUUUGUUUUGAAAACUUAAGAAAGAAUUUUAUAUUCUAUUAAUUU
rnacentral:tRNA from 1 species